rnacentral:rRNA from 1 species
CCUACGGGAGGCAGCAGUGAGGAAUAUUGGUCAAUGGACGAGAGUCUGAACCAGCCAAGUAGCGUGAAGGAUGACUGCCCUAUGGGUUGUAAACUUCUUUUAUAUGGGAAUAAAAUGUUCCACGUGUGGGAUUUUGUAUGUACCAUAUAAAUAAGGAUCGGCUAACUCCGUGCCAGCAGCCGCGGUAAUACGGAGGAUCCGAGCGUUAUCCGGAUUUAUUGGGUUUAAAGGGCGCGUAGGUGGAUUGUUAAGUCAGUUGUGAAAGUUUGCGGCUCAACCGUAAAAUUGCAGUUGAAACUGGCAGUCUUGAGUACAGUAGAGGUGGGCGGAAUGCGUGGUGUAGCGGUGAAAUGCUUAGAUAUCACGAAGAACUCCGAUUGCGAAGGCAGUUCACUGGACUGCAACUGACACUGAGGCUCGAAAGUGUGGGUAUCAAACAGGAUUAGAUACCCCUGUAGUC